AGAGUGGAAGACAAAACAUGGCCUUGUGGGGUUGCUGCUCACUGGUUUCCCUUGUUGGAGGCUUGCAGGAUGGGUGAAAAUGCAGUCAGCAGGAGAGAGAGGCUGGAGGUGAGGAAACCCAGAACUGACCUCAGCCUUGGGUUUUCUGCAGAGCUUGCUGUUCUGAGGUGUGCUCUAUUGGCAACCAAGAUGAGGCGCAUGCAGUAGACUGCAGCCCAGUCAGUAAAUGCACACUGCUUCAGAAAUGACCCUAAACUGAACUCCUGCUAUGACGUUGUAGAAAUCUCUCUUGGGACCGCUUAGGACUGGUUUUCAGCUGGGUAGGCUUCUGUCACUGUUGAAGCAAGAAGAUGAAGCAGCGUCCUGUGAAACAGCAGAGGUAGGAGCAGGGCUGCGAUGGCUUAUCUUGCUGUGGAGCUUUUUGAGUUGUCAUUUUUCACAGUGCCCUGAGGAAGGAAGCUGAAACAUGAAUAGGGCUGUCAUCCCAUACAAGUUGCCUCUUGGCAAGGCUGUGAAGAUGAUGAAUGAUUCAGUGAGACUAGUUGAAUUUAUCCAAGGGAUUUACAAGCUGGUACAUUUUGCUGGACAAGAUAGCGAUACACAAAGGAAUGAACUGCAGACCAUCCAAAAUGCUACCCUAAUCUAUAGAGGAAACAGUGUAGACAGCAGCAAUGGAGUCUUUUCUGCCCUGCUCCCUGCUCCUCUCUCUCCAGAACUGAAGAUGCAGCUACUUUAGAGACCAGACACUAUGCCACUUCAGGCCUUGACAUUCCUUCUGGCCCCAGGUAGAGAUGUGUGCCUCUUGUUACUGUGGAUUCACACAGAGAACCACCUGAAAGAGAUCUGAAUGGUGUAGGAACUGCUCUGUAGGCAUGUAAAAGGACUGUAAAAUUAAUGGAAAGUCAUCUGCUGUUUUAAAGACAGCAGCAAAAGGGAUGAUGUGGAAUUUUUUAUUUUUACUUUUUCUAAUGAUAGCAACUGGCUCUACAAUGUUAAACUGUAAGCCUCCUCCAUUUCUCUGAUUAAAUAAAUAAUUAAAAUAGAGCAUUAUAGAUUAGAAACUUUAAAAUUGCAUUUGUAUAACUGGAAGUGGAUUUGAGUGAUAACACAAACGGGUGAUUAGUUUAAUAAAGUUUGGUAAUGUUUUG
rnacentral:lncRNA from 7 species